rnacentral:tRNA from 1 species
AUUAAGAUAGCUAAUAAAGCAUUUAAGCUGUAAACUUAAGGAUGGGUUUCCUCUUAUUA